AACUUUUAUUCUAUAUUAAAUAACUUUGAUUUCUUUCAAACUGAUGUGAAAUCGGGGGAAAUUAAAAAAUUACCAUAAACGAUUAGCAUAACUUUGAAAAAUGAUCUGGUCUAUGCCAUAGAUAUUGGUUAAAAGACAAUUUUUUUUAGCCCUCCCCCUUUUAUCUAAAUCUGGUAUUUUUCUUAGUUUUCUAUCAAUUUCGAUUAAAUUCAUGUUUUUUUAUAUACUAUAUCACAAUAAACAUGCUCAAAUUAAAUUGUAUUUGCUACUUGCUUUUGAUUCUAAGUUAACUUUACACAGCUAGAAAUUAACAGUAAAAACUCCAGAUUUUUUUUUUAAAAAGGGGGAGGGCUUUAAAAACUCCUUGUCUUUAAGUACUAUGAUCUAUGCAUGAUAGAGCCAUAUUCCAAAAUUAACAAUGAUUUCCAAAAUCCAAGUGUAACUAGAGGCUGUCAGAGUGACGGCAAACCAGAUUUCCUGCAAAGGUUGAAAGCGGAACAGCCGAGCAAGUAUGGACACACCAUUUAAGCUUAAAACAGCUCUUGAUUUGGAUUGUGAUUGAAUAUUUGACACAGCAUAGGUUUGUGACACAAAAUCAAUGUGGUCAAAGGAACUGAUUUUUAUUAAAAAAAUCAAUUUUGAAAACGAAAAAAAAUCAAUUAAACCUCCAGAUGACAAUCCCCCUUUUUUCUUCAAAACAAUAGAAUGUGUUAAUCAAUGUGUUCUCUUCUUUUCUAUCAUACCCAUGAUUGUUUGACAAAAUUAGAUUUAUGUCAUCUUUUUUUAAACGUGUGUACAUUUGCUACUGUGCCAAACGAUAUUACAUACUAUAAAUUACAAUAAAAACUUAAUCACUUUAAAUAGUUUUCUGUUUUUAUUUCAACUUCCUUUCACGUAUUCAAUUUCUA
rnacentral:lncRNA from 1 species